AUUAAACUUAGUGGCGGACGGGUGAGUAACGCGUGGAUAACCUGCCUUAUAGAGGGGGACAACAGUUGGAAACGACUGCUAAUACCGCAUAAGGUCUCGAGACCGCAUGAUCUUGAGAAGAAAGAUGGCCUCUGAAAAUGCUAUCGCUAUAAGAUGGAUCCGCGUCUGAUUAGCUAGUUGGUGAGGUAACGGCUCACCAAGGCAACGAUCAGUAGCCGGCCUGAGAGGGUGAACGGCCACAUUGGGACUGAGACACGGCCCAAACUCC
rnacentral:rRNA from 1 species